rnacentral:lncRNA from 1 species
UUCUUACAAAAAAUAGGAUGUACCACCUUCUUACACAAGACGACUCACUUUUGGCUUCUUGUCCACUUCAAAAUAGUCUUUAUCUCCUUGGCACCACUGUGUUUCAGCAUCACAAUAUCCAAUCUAAUAUUGUCACUCUUCUAGGUGAUGAUAUUGAUUUCUCACCGAUAAUUUUUUCCAUGACCAAUAUCACUCACUUCGGCAAUGGUAUAGAUAAUUUUUCAUCCAAUCCAUUGUAGUAUUUGGACAUGCUUACAAUUACCAAUUUCUUAGUGUUUCCUUCACUACAAUAGCUACUUCUUUUGGCUGAGCACUUAGUUUCAACCUUCAAGCCUAACAUUACUUCUUUGAUCGCAUGGCAGCUUCUCCUAGAAUUCACAACUACAUUGGCCAUGAUGGGUCAACCACAAAAAAAUAGAGCCUACAAAUUAUUACAAGUUUAGCUUGACCUCAAAUAUCUUUAAAAUAUGUAAUUCUAGUCAUCAAGAAUUCUAAGAUGUCAUAUUACAGAUUGGGCAUUUUAGCACAAGCCACUUGAAACAACUAGCUAAAAAUCAAGCAAUCACAAGCCUACCUUU